GGGAGGCUUGCUCCACCGGAAAAAGAGGAGUGGCGAACGGGUGAGUAACACGUGGGUAACCUGCCCAUCAGAAGGGGAUAACACUUGGAAACAGGUGCUAAUACCGUAUAACAAUCAAAACCGCAUGGUUUUGAUUUGAAAGGCGCUUUCGGGUGUCGCUGAUGGAUGGACCCGCGGUGCAUUAGCUAGUUGGUGAGGUAACGGCUCACCAAGGCCACGAUGCAUAGCCGACCUGAGAGGGUGAUCGGCCACAUUGGGACUGAGACACGGCCCAAACUCCUACGGGAGGCAGCAGUAGGGAAUCUUCGGCAAUGGACGAAAGUCUGACCGAGCAACGCCGCGUGAGUGAAGAAGGUUUUCGGAUCGUAAAACUCUGUUGUUAGAGAAGAACAAGGAUGAGAGUAACUGUUCAUCCCUUGACGGUAUCUAACCAGAAAGCCACGGCUAACUACGUGCCCAGCAGCCAAAA
rnacentral:rRNA from 1 species